ACGAACGCUGGCGGCGUGCUUAACACCUGCCAGUCGAGCGAGGCCCCUCCUUCGGGAGGGUGUCCUAGCGGCGAACGGGUGAGUAACACGUGGGCAACCUGCCCUCAGCUCUGGGAUAACUCCGGGAAACCGGGGCUAAUACCGGAUACGACCUCCACGGGCAUCUGCGGAGGUGGAAAGUUUUUCGGCUGAGGAUGGGCCCGCGGCCUAUCAGCUAGUUGGUGGGGUAGUGGCCCACCAAGGCGACGACGGGUAGCCGGCCUGAGAGGGCGACCGGCCACACUGGGACUGAGACACGGCCCAGACUCCUACGGGAGGCAGCAGUGGGGAAUAUUGCGCAAUGGGCGAAAGCCUGACGCAGCGACGCCGCGUGAGGGACGAAGGCCUUCGGGUUGUAAACCUCUUUCAGCAGGGACGAAGCGAAAGUGACGGUACCUGCAGAAGAAGCACCGGCCAACUACGUG
rnacentral:rRNA from 1 species